UGAUGGUAUAAUUUUUUUCUUUGGUGGUCUUCCUUGAUCAUAUGAGCAGAUGAUGGUUUUGAAGUCACUUUCAAAGCUUUUGCUGAGUUCUUUCAUGGCCAUGUCUUUGUUAACGAAAAAGGCAUUAGACCAUAGUUCCCUGUUGAAAGAAAAUGGGCUUUUGGCCUUCACGUACAGUGGAUGGGAAAAAGUAGGAAUUAAUCAAGGGUCAGAAGAUUGAAACAAGCAUUAGGCAAACAAUGGCUCACCACCUGCUUUCUUCUUCUUUUUCCAGAUUCUUAAAGAGAGCUUGCUCGGAGUUGGAAAGUGGUGGCCAUGGCUUUCAGGCAGGAGGAGGCAUAUUCUUCACCGCUGUGAGGAAAGUGAUUUUCGCACUACAUUUGUGCUGCUUGCAACGAUUGCAUUUGCAGAACUUUUCUGAUGAGACUCUAGAGUGCUCAUGUUUUGAAGCUUAAAACAUGUUCGUUCUUUGUUAUCUUUGAUACACAAUCUCUUUUGUAGAAGAAAACGCUUUAUAUAGUCUCCCAAGCUAUGUGAUUUCAGAUUAGCUACAUGGACAUCUGCAGCUUUAGUUCUUUUCCUUUGCACAACUAUCAAAUGAACUUUUGGGGGCUCAGCCACACAAAAGGAACCUUGCAUGGCAACAAAAGGAACUAAGAGAGUUCUGCAAUGCAAAAGGAAUAGUUUUGACUGCUGUCUCGCCUCUUAGGAAAGGUGCCAGCAAGGGACCAAAUGAAGUUAUGGAGAAUGAUAUGCUCAAAGAGAUUGUUGAGGCUCAUGGAAAGUCUAUAGCUCAUGUCAGUCUAAGAUGGUUGUAUGAACAAGGAGUCACUUUUGUGGCAAAGAGCUAUGAUAAGGACAUAAUGAACCAAAAUCUGCAAAUCUUUGAUUGGGCACUCACAAAGGAGGAUCUUGAGAAAAUAGAUCAAAUCGAGUAGAACCGUUUAAUUCCUGGACCAACCAAGCCCCGGCUCAAUGAUCUCUUUGAUGACCAAGCAUAAUUUAUUGAAGUUUGUGUGGGAAUGAAUUCUUUUAAUUUUAAUACAUGAUUCUUAGAAUGUAGAGCUGUGAAUUGAGCUCAGCCAUUCUCUUUUGGGUUCUGUUUCGGGUUUAAAUAAUUGAUGUCGCAUCCUAUUUUAUACAAAUUUGUUCUGAAUAACAAUAUUCAUUAUUAUUUUUCAAGAGACACUUGAAUUUCAUACUUUA